AAGAUGCUAGUAAUAAACAUUACAUUACUUUGUCAAGGUAAAGUUGUAGGUUAAAACCCUGCGCAUCUUA
rnacentral:tRNA from 1 species